GUGGGGAAUAUUGGACAAUGGGCGAAAGCCUGAUCCAGCCAUGCCGCGUGUGUGAAGAAGGUCUUCGGAUUGUAAAGCACUUUAAGUUGGGAGGAAGGGCAGUAAGUUAAUACCUUGCUGUUUUGACGUUACCAACAGAAUAAGCACCGGCUAACUUCGUGCCAGCAGCCGCGGUAAUACGAAGGGUGCAAGCGUUAAUCGGAAUUACUGGGCGUAAAGCGCGCGUAGGUGGUUCAGCUAGUUGGAGGUGAAAUCCCCGGGCUCAACCUGGGAACUGCCUCCAAAACUACUGAGCUAGAGUACGGUAGAGGGUAGUGGAAUUUCCUGUGUAGCGGUGAAAUGCGUAGAUAUAGGAAGGAACACCAGUGGCGAAGGCGACUACCUGGACUGAUACUGACACUGAGGUGCGAAAGCGUGGGGAGCAAACAGGAUUAGAAACCCUUGUAGUCC
rnacentral:rRNA from 1 species